rnacentral:rRNA from 1 species
UACAGAGGGUGCAAGCGUUGUUCGGAAUUAUUGGGCGUAAAGCGCGUGUAGGCGGUGACGUAAGUCAGGUGUGAAAGCCCUCAGCUUAACUGAGGAAGUGCGCCUGAUACUGUGUCGCUUGAGUGCCGGAGAGGGUGGCGGAAUUCCCGGUGUAGAGGUGAAAUUCGUAGAUAUCGGGAGGAACACCAGUGGCGAAGGCGGCCACCUGGACGGACACUGACGCUGAGACGCGAAAGCGUGGGUAG